rnacentral:rRNA from 1 species
UUCUCAAUGAUUUAACAAUGAGUAAGACCUGCUCCAUGAAUAUUUAAAUAGCCGCAGAAAUUUUACUGUGCUAAGGUAGCAUAAUCAUUAGUCUUCUAAUUAAAGACUUGUAUGAAAGAUCCAACAUUUCAAAAGCUUUCUUCUGAAGAAAAAUUGAAAUUAAACUAAGUAUAAAAUGUUCUUAUUCACUAAUUAGACGACAAGACCCUAUUGAACUUUACUUAAGUUUAGCUGGGGCAGCUAUCUAAAAACUACUUUAGUUAAAAAAUUUUAAUAAAUACCCAAUUACAUUGAUUUGAUUAAGUUACCAUAGGGAUAACAGCGUAAUAUUUUUUAAAAGCUCUAUUUAAAAAAAAGUUUGCGACCUCGAUGUUGAAUUAGUGACACUUUAAGGGGCAACAACUUUAAAAGUAGGUCUGUUCGACCUUUAAAUCACUACA